UACAGAGGGCUCAAGCGUUGUUCGGAUUCAUUGGGCGUAAAGGGUGCGUAGGCGGCGCCGUAAGUCAGGUGUGAAAUUUCGAGGCUUAACCUCGAAACUGCAUUUGAUACUGCGGUGCUUGAGGACUGGAGAGGAGACUGGAAUUCAUGGUGUAGCAGUGAAAUGCGUAGAGAUCAUGAGGAAGACCAGUGGCGAAGGCGGGUCUCUGGACAGUUCCUGACGCUGAGGCACGAAGGCCAGGGGAGCAAACGGG
rnacentral:rRNA from 1 species